UGUAUUGAUGCGACAGAGAACUGCAGAGCACAGUGACUUGUUCUGCCAAUGACCUGGAGGUGGGUCUGUACCCACAGGACUCCUAACUCCUACCCACCGGGUAACCACCACUUUCAGAAAGAACAUCCUCUCUGCCAUGCUGCCGUUUCUUUGUUCAGAUGUGUUUUACGUGUUUAUCUUCCGUUGCAUCUUUCCUUCUGAUCUACGUAGGAAGAACGUGACAUGGUGCAUUGUCCUAGUUCCCUUUGUACCAUGGUGACAGGGACACCCAGCAGAAGAAUUUAGGAGAGGAAGUCAACCAUGAUGUGGCUGAGUCGGUUUCACCAAUCUCGAUGCAUAAUGUUCUGCUCAAGCAUCUGGGGCCAAGAAAUGAUGAACUUCUGAAACCAUGACCGAAAUUAGCCUUUCCUCUUCUGUCUCUGUCAGCCAUCAUUAUGUACAGUAAUGCUGUCACAAGAAGAGUAAACAAGAAACCUUCUUAGCUCAGAACUGCUUACCACAGCCCUCUCACAGGCUUGUCUUCACUCACUGGCCUUUGCUUCUUUUCCCAUGUUGUCUCUGUUGCGCACCGGGAAAGGGUGUUUAGAUAGUAAUAGAAUCCCAUUUGUAUUGCCUCUCUUUUAACUCCUAGUGAUGGGUAGAGGCUUGGAAUAUUUUUAAAGAGACCUCUAAGAUUCAAAGGAAUAAAAAUCCUCAUUGUAGAAUUGCAUCUUCUAGGCCAAACAGGUAAUAUAAUGAAAAGAGGAAUACUCUCUUACCUUUCAGUAACGCCAUUUUGGAAGAAGCCCAUUGUCCUAGACAUUAAGAGGCAUCAGUAUUUAUUCUGCCAUCAGUAUAAACUCAUGAUGUUGACUGUCCUACCUAGCCUCUCUGAAUCUGUGUUUCUAGAACUUCACAGUGGGUUUAAGAUCUCCAACUCAUAUAAAAAAUACCUCUUAAGAUAAGACAUUGGACAAAUAUUAGUGACUACAAUUUGAUAUUUAUGAACAUGUGGAAUAUUAGGUUUAUAAUAAGAUGACUUAGUUACCAUUCUCAGUAGGUAUUUUUGAGAGAGAAGAAAGUGAAGACUGUAGAGACUACUGGGAUAAUAGCAAUUAUCCAGGGAAAAACCUGUAUCUUUGG